rnacentral:rRNA from 1 species
UGACGUUACCGACAGAAUAAGCACCGGCUAACUUNGUGCCAGCAGCCGCGGUAAUACGAAGGGUGCAAGCGUUAAUCGGAAUUACUGGGCGUAAAGCGCGCGUAGGUGGUUUGUUUAGUCGGAUGUGAAAUCCCCGGGCUCAACCUGGGAACUGCAUUCAAAACUGGCGAGCUAGAGUAUGGUAGAGGGNGGUGGAAUUUCCUGUGUAGCGGUGAAAUGCGUAGAUAUA